AAGUCGUAACAAGGUUUCCGUAGGUGAACCUGCGGAAGGAUCAUUAAAGUUUUUCCCUGCCCCUUCUGGGUAGAAACACCACCCUUGUGUAUUAUAUCUUUGUUGCUUUGGCAGGCCGCCUUCGGGCACCGGCUUCCGCUGGAUGGUGCCUGCCAGAGAACCCCAAACUCUGAAUGUUUAGUGUCGUCUGAGUACUAUUGUAAUAGUUAAAACUUUCAACAACGGAUCUCUUGGUUCUG
rnacentral:misc_RNA from 1 species